AAAAAGGUGAGAGAGGGACAACUCUCUAUAUUUCUCCAGUUGUUUCGACAUGGAAAACUUUGGAAACAAUCUCAACAAGAAAAUGAGAAGAUAUUCUAUUAACACAAACGCUGUUGGCUGUCCACGAAAACGCGUUGAAGAGAAAAAAAAGAUUUUUAGGAUUUCUCAGGACAACCUGCUGUGAACCCAUCAGCGCCAAAAAUCUUUUUGUUUCAUUUCUACAACAGCUUUUGUAUGAAUUGCUGGACAUUGUGUGGACUGCACAUUGGCCUCAACAGGAACGAAUCAGAGCUGCCGUAGAAAGCCGAGAUUGUCAUGGGAAGGACGCCUUUUUCUCUCCAGUUCUACAGUUGGACUCUCUUCAUUACUAAAGCGGCUUAAUGAGAAGAGUCUACGACUUUUAGGUUGUUGAGGAAAACAAAAAACAAAACAAAAAAGAAUUCCUGUGUCCGUCUCUGAUCAAGCCGUGAAGAUGAGCAACUGCCAACAGGCAAAGAGAGAACAAUGUGGCGCAUUAGCUCUAAUUGGACUGGACAUGGCAGCUUGUCUGUCGACUUACAAGAAUCGGGUCGAUGCUUUCACACCAGAUAUUCGUGUAUACGAGAAAGAGUCGAAAAACGCGAUCAAAAAGUGUGAAAAUCUAGAGUGUCUCUACACGGAUUCCCCGCUUGAUGGAUGCCGUGCGAGAUAUGAUGAAGCGAUCAAAUCCAUUGUUGGUCAUCCGUGUUUGCGGCUUUGUAUUCGAUAUCGAAAUAGAGUUACGGAGGCGCGGUUUGGUAUGUAGAGAUUCGUGCGUCUACAUGCGAGCAGCUUCGUCACACAGUCACGUACAAUCAAAGCCCGGGACAAGGAGAUGAAAAGAUAAGAGAAACGAGUCAUCCAGGAAUCUGUUCACGCUCCCAGCAGGGAAGCAAGACAUG